rnacentral:rRNA from 1 species
AGCUCCAAUAGCGUAUAUUAAAGUUGUUGCAGUUAAAAGCUCGUAGUUGGAUUUCUGCGAGGGUGCCAAUGUCCGCCGACGCGCGUGCGCAGCGGCGCCCUCGCAUCCUUCUGUUACCGCCUCUCGGCAUUCGCCUUGCCGGUGGUCGGCUCAGAGAAUUUACCUUGAGAAAAUUAGAGUGUUUCAGGCAGGCUUUCGCCGGAAUACAUUAGCAUGGAAUAAUGGAAUAGGACUACGGUCUCGUUGUUGGUUUGAGGGACUGCAGUAAUGAUUAAUAGGGACAGUCGGGGGGCAUUUGUAUUCAAACGACAGAGGUGAAAUUCUUGGACCGUUUGAAGACAAACUACUGCGAAAGCAUUU